rnacentral:rRNA from 1 species
AACGUACGCUGGCGGCACGCCUAACACAUGCAAGUCGAACGCAGUAGCAAUACUGAGUGGCAAACGGGUGAGUAUAAUGUGGGAAUCUGCCUUUUGGCUGGAAUAACACGAGGAAACUUGUGCUAAUACCGGAUAAGCCCUUACGGGGAAAGUUUUUAAUGCCGAAAGAUGAGCCCGCACUUGAUUAGCUAGUUGGUAAGGUAAAAGCUUACCAAGGCAACGAUCAAUAGCUGAUUUGAGAGGAUGAUCAGCCACAUUGGGACUGAGACACGGCCCAAACUCCUACGGGAGGCAGCAGUGGGGAAUCUUGCACAAUGGAGGAAACUCUGAUGCAGCGAUGCCGCGUGAGUGAAGAAGGCCCUUGGGUUGUAAAGCUCUUUCGUCGGGGAAGAAAAUGACUGUACCCGAAUAAGAAGGUCCGGCUAACUUCGUG